rnacentral:rRNA from 1 species
UACGAACUGUGCAAACGUUAUUCGGAAUCACUGGGCUUAAAGGGUGCGUAGGCGGCUAUUUAAGUAGGGUGUGAAAGCCCCCGGCUCAACCGGGGAAUUGCGUCCUAAACUGGGUAGCUCGAGUGAGAUAGAGGUGUGUGGAACUUCCGGUGGAGCGGUGAAAUGUGUUGAUAUCGGAAGGAACGCCGGUGGCGAAAGCGACACACUGGGUCUCAACUGACGCUGAGGCACGAAAGCCAGGGGAGCGAACGGG